rnacentral:rRNA from 1 species
UACGGAGGGAGCUAGCGUUAUUCGGAAUUACUGGGCGUAAAGCGCACGUAGGCGACUUUGUAAGUUAGAGGUGAAAGCCUGGAGCUCAACUCCAGAAUUGCCUUUAAGACUGCAUCGCUUGAAUUCCAGGAGAGGUGAGUGGAACUGCGAGUGUAGAGGUGAAAUUCGUAGAUAUUCGCAAGAACACCAGUGGCGAAGGCGGCUCACUGGCCCGGUUACUGACGCUGAGGUACGAAAGCGUGGGGAGCAAACAGGG